GCAAGUCGUGCUGAAUAAAUAACUACAUUACCCAUAAUGCCCUCCAACAGCGACCAAAUGGAACACAAAGCGAACGAGCUGCAGUGACAGCUGAUCUUGAAUUUACUGAGGGAAACUUCAAUUCUGCUUCCUACUACACAACAAACGCGAAUCAAAGAAACAUGACACACAUUUUGCACAGCACCACAGCAGUAGGCCGGUGAAAGAGCUUCAGGAGCAGGGAAAAUUGAACUUGAUGGGCUCACGCUAAACAAGAUUGUGUCCUAACUCCACAAGAUUACUAUUAGACCACAUUGUUGCUGCCGCUUUACAUCCAAACGCAUUGUCCUGUGCUGUCACGGUCAGCCACCAGGGGACAGAGUCGGCCUUUACUUUUCCAGCUUCUGACAAACUAUCCCACCGCUGCUCUUCUCCGGCUGCUCUUUCUCCUCCCGC